UACGUAGGGCGCAAGCGUUGUCCGGAAUUAUUGGGCGUAAAGAGCUCGUAGGCGGUUUGUCGCGUCUGUCGUGAAAGCUUGGGGCUUAACCCCAAGUCUGCGGUGGAUACGGGCAGACUAGAGGCAGGUAGGGGAGAACGGAAUUCCCGGUGUAGCGGUGAAAUGCGCAGAUAUCGGAAGGAACACCAGUGGCGAAAGCGGCUUCCUGGUCCAGCAUCGACGUUCAGGCACGAAAGCGUGGGGAGCAAACAGG
rnacentral:rRNA from 1 species